UACGUAGGGGGCAAGCGUUGUCCGGAUUUACUGGGCGUAAAGGGCGCGUAGGCGGUCAGCACAAGUCAGUUGUGAAAUCUCCGAGCUUAACUCGGAAAGGUCAACUGAUACUGUGCGACUAGAGUGCAGAAGGGGCAACUGGAAUUCUUGGUGUAGCGGUGAAAUGCGUAGAUAUCAAGAGGAACACCUGCGGCGAAGGCGGGUUGCUGGGCUGACACUGACGCUGAAGCGCGAAAGCCAGGGGAGCGAACGGG
rnacentral:rRNA from 1 species